rnacentral:rRNA from 1 species
CCAAUAGCGUAUAUUAAAGUUGCUGCAGUUAAAAAGCUCGUAGUUGAAUUUCGGGAUCAAUAUGUUGGUCGUGCCUCGGUACGUACUGGCUUAUUGGUUUCUCCCUUCUGACGAACCAUGAUGUCAUUUAUUUGGUGUUAUGAGGCAUCAGGACUGUUACUUUGAAAAAAUUAGAGUGUUUAAAGCAGGCUCACGCUUGAAUACAUUAGCAUGGAAUAAUGAAAUAGGACGUUUGAUUCUAUUUUGUUGGUUUCUAGGAUCGACGUAAUGAUUAAUAGGGAUAGUUGGGGGCAUUAGUAUUCAAUUGUCAGAGGUGAAAUUCUUGGAUUUAUUGAAGACUAACUACUGCGAAAGCAUUUGCCAAGGAUGUUUUCAUUAAUCAAGAACGAAAGUUAGGGGAUCGAAGACGAUCAGAUACCGUCGUAGUCUUAACCAUAAACUAUGCCGACUAGGGAUCGGAUGAUGUUAAUUUUUUAAUGACUCAUUCGGCGCCUUACG